rnacentral:rRNA from 1 species
AUUGAACGCUGGCGGCAUGCCUUACACAUGCAAGUCGAACGGCAGCACGGGUGCUUGCACCUGGUGGCGAGUGGCGAACGGGUGAGUAAUACAUCGGAACAUGUCCUGUAGUGGGGGAUAGCCCGGCGAAAGCCGGAUUAAUACCGCAUACGAUCUACGGAUGAAAGCGGGGGACCUUCGGGCCUCGCGCUAUAGGGUUGGCCGAUGGCUGAUUAGCUAGUUGGUGGGGUAAAGGCCUACCAAGGCGACGAUCAGUAGAUGGUCUGAGAGGACGACCAGCCACACUGGGACUGAGACACGGCCCAGACUCCUACGGGAGGCAGCAGUGGGGAAUUUUGGGCAAUGGGCGAAAGCCUGAUCCAGCAAUGCCGCGUGUGUGAAGAAGGCCUUCGGGUUGUAAAGCACUUUUGUCCGGAAAGAAAUCCUUGGCUCUAAUACAGUCGGGGGAUGACGGUACCGGAAGAAUAAGCACCGGCUAACUACGUG